CCUACGGGAGGCAGCAGUGGGGAAUAUUGCGCAAUGGGGGAAACCCUGAUGCAGCGACGCCGCGUGAGUGAAGAAGUAAUUCGUUAUGUAAAGCUCUAUUAGCAGGGAAGAAAAUGACGGUACCUGAGUAAGAAGCCCCGGCUAACUACGUGCCAGCAGCCGCGGUAAUACGGAGGGGGCAAGCGUUAUCCGGAUUUACUGGGUGUAAAGGGAGCGUAGACGGCAGUGCAAGUCUGGAGUGAAAGGCGGGGGCUCAACCCCCGGACUGCUGUGGAAACUGUACGGCUGGAGUGCAGGAGAAGUAAGUGGAAUUCGUGGUGUAGCGGUGAAAUGCAUAGAUAUUAGGAAGAACACCGGUGGCGAAGGCAGCUUACUGGACUGUAACUGACGUUGAGGCUCGAAAGCGUGGGUAGCGAACAGGAUUAGAUACCCGGGUAGUC
rnacentral:rRNA from 1 species